UACGUAGGGUGCGAGCGUUGCCCGGAUUUAUUGGGCGUAAAGGGCGCGUAGGCGGCUCGGCACGUCCGUUGUGAAAUCGCCCGGCUCAACUGGGCGGGGUCAGCGGAUACGGUCGAGCUUGAGCAGCCAGGGGCAAGUGGAUUCCCGGUGUAGUGGUGGGAAUGCGUAGAUAUCGGGAGGAACACCAGUGGCGAAGGCGGUUGCCUGGAGCUUUGCUGACGCUGAGGCGCGAAAGCGUGGGGAGCGAGUCCGG
rnacentral:rRNA from 1 species